CACGUAGUUAGCCGGGGCUUCUUAGUCAGGUACCGUCAUUUUCUUUCCUGCUGAUAGAGCUUUACGUACCGAAAUACUUCUUCACUCACGCGGCGUCGCUGGAUCAGGGUUUCCCCCCAUUGUCCAAUAUUCCCCACUGCUGCCUCCCGUAGGAGUUUGGGCCGUGUCUCAGUCCCAAUGUGGCCGUCCACCCUCUCAGGCCGGCUACUGAUCGUUGCCUUGGGUGGGCCGUUACCCCGCCAACCAGCUAAUCAGACGCGGGCCCAUCCCAUACCACCGGAGUUUUUCACACACCUUCAUGCGAAGCUGUGCGCUUAUGCGGUUUUAGCACCUGUUUCCAGGUGUUAGUCCCCCGGUAUGGGGCAGGUUCGCCCACGCGUUACUCACCUGUCCGCCACUAACUUACACUUCCGUUAGUCAAUGACUAAGCUACUCUCCUGCCUUUCUGUGUUAACGUCCGUUCGACUUGCAUGUGUUAGGCACGCCGCCAGUCGUUCGAUCCUGACG
rnacentral:rRNA from 1 species